GUGAGGAAUAUUGGUCAAUGGGCGGGAGCCUGAACCAGCCAAGUCGCGUGAAGGAAGAAGGAUCUAUGGUUCGUAAACUUCUUUUGCAGGGGAAUAAAGUGCGGGACGUGUCCUGUUUUGUAUGUACCCUGAGAAUAAGGAUCGGCUAACUCCGUGCCAGCAGCCGCGGUAAUACGGAGGCUCCGAGCGUUAUCCGGAUUUAUUGGGUUUAAAGGGUGCGUAGGUGGUUUGAUAAGUCAGCGGUGAAAGUUUGCAGCUUAACUGUAAAAAUGCCGUUGAAACUGUCGGACUUGAGUGUAAAUGAGGUAGGCGGAAUGCGUGGUGUAGCGGUGAAAUGCAUAGAUAUCACGCAGAACUCCGAUUGCGAAGGCAGCUUACUAAGCUACAACUGACACUGAAGCACGAAAGCGUGGGGAUCAAACAGGAUUAGAAACCCUAGUAGUCC
rnacentral:rRNA from 1 species